rnacentral:rRNA from 1 species
UACGUAGGGGGCAAGCGUUGUCCGGAUUUAUUGGGCGUAAAGAGCGUGUAGGCGGCCAGGUAGGUCCGUUGUGAAAACUCGAGGCUCAACCUCGAGACGUCGAUGGAAACCAUCUGGCUAGAGUCCGGAAGAGGAGAGUGGAAUUCCUGGUGUAGCGGUGAAAUGCGCAGAUAUCAGGAAGAACACCCGUGGCGAAGGCGGCUCUCUGGGACGGUACUGACGCUCAUGCACGAAAGCGUGGGGAGCAAACAGG